UACGGAGGGUGCAAGCGUUAUCCGGAUUCACUGGGUUUAAAGGGUGCGUAGGCGGGCAGGUAAGUCAAUUGUGAAAUCUCCGGGCUUAACUCGGAAAGGUCAACUGAUACUGCGGGGCUAGAGUGCGGAAGGGGCAACUGGAAUUCUCGGUGUAGCGGUGAAAUGCGUAGAUAUCGAGAGGAACACCUGCGGCGAAGGCGGGUUGCUGGGCCGACACUGACGCUGAUGCGCGAAAGCCAGGGGAGCGAACGGG
rnacentral:rRNA from 1 species